UCGCGGCCUAUCAGCUUGUUGGUGGGGUGAUGGCCUACCAAGGCGUCGACGGGUAGCCGGCCUGAGAGGGUGACCGGCCACACUGGGACUGAGAUACGGCCCAGACUCCUACGGGAGGCAGCAGUGGGGGAUAUUGCACAAUGGGCGCAAGCCUGAUGCAGCGACGCCGCGUGAGGGAUGACGGCUUUCGGGUUGUAAACCACUUUCGCUACCGAACAAGGCUCCAUUUUUGUGGGGUUGAGGGUAGGUGGAUAAGAAGCGCCGGCUAACUACGUGCCAGCAGCCGCGGUAAUACGUAGGGCGCGAGCGUUGUCCGGAAUUAUUGGGCGUAAAGAGCUCGUAGGCGGCUUGUCGCGUCUGCUGUGAAAACGCGGGGCUUAACUCCGCGCGUGCAGUGGGUACGGGCAGGCUAGAGUGUGGUGGGGGUGAUUGGAAUUCCUGGUGUAGCGGUGGAAUGCGCAGAUAUCAGGAGGAACACCGAUGGCGAAGGCAGGUCACUGGGCCAUUACUGACGCUGAGGAGCGAAAGCAUGGGGAGCGAACAGGAUUAGAUACCCUGGUAGUCCAUGCCGUAAACGUUGGGCACUAGGUGUGGGGCCUGUUUCCACGGGUUCUGCGCCGUAGCUAACGCAUUAAGUGCCCCGCCUGGGGAGUACGG
rnacentral:rRNA from 1 species